rnacentral:rRNA from 1 species
GGCUCAGAGCGAACGCUGGCGGCAGGCUUAACACAUGCAAGUCGAGCGGGCCCUUCGGGGUCAGCGGCGGACGGGUGAGUAACGCGUGGGAACGUGCCUUCUGGUCUGGAAUAACCCUGGGAAACUAGGGCUAAUACCGGAUACGCCCUUUUGGGGAAAGGUUUACUGCCGGAAGAUCGGCCCGCGUCUGAUUAGCUAGUUGGUGGGGUAACGGCCUACCAAGGCGACGAUCAGUAGCUGGUCUGAGAGGAUGAUCAGCCACACUGGGACUGAGACACGGCCCAGACUCCUACGGGAGGCAGCAGUGGGGAAUAUUGGACAAUGGGCGCAAGCCUGAUCCAGCCAUGCCGCGUGAGUGAUGAAGGCCUUAGGGUUGUAAAGCUCUUUUAUCCGGGACGAUAAUGACGGUACCGGAGGAAUAAGCCCCGGCUAACUUCGUGCCAGCAGCCGCGGUAAUACGAAGGGGGCUAGCGUUGCUCGGAAUCACUGGGCGUAAAGGGCGCGUAGGCGGCGUUUUAAGUCGGGGGUGAAAGCCUGUGGCUCAACCACAGAAUGGCCUUCGAUACUGGGACGCUUGAGUAUGGUAGAGGUUGGUGGAACUGCGAGUGUAGAGGUGAAAUUCGUAGAUAUUCGCAAGAACACCGGUGGCGAAGGCGGCCAACUGGACCAUUACUGACGCUGAGGCGCGAAAAG